UCGCCAACAAAAAAGGACCUUCUUUCUCAGUGACCCUUAAAGAAAAACAUGGCUUUACCCCUGGUACAGCUGCCACGUGGGUGGCAUUUUCUCUCAGCACCCUGGGGCUGCCAUGGGAUCUCAGAGCGAACCCCAAAUAGCACCGGAUUUAGGCGAGGUUUGGAGAGUGCCAAGAUCCCUGAAGGAGCGCGAGAUAUUUCAGCGUUCAAAUCUGAAGAGAAGUCCCGUCUUGGCUCCUCAGGCCUUCACUUUCAUUAAUGUCUCGGACCAGGCUCAGAACCCAGGUGACCGACGCGGGAGCGGGUGGUGGCACUGUUCAAUGUGUGCACGAACGUGUUUUUCAUGUAGAUGGAGGAUAAGAGGAGGCCUGGCGUGGAGGGGACUCGUCAGUGAGAUGGGAAAUCUCAGCGCGCCAGCAUCAAA